AGUGAACGCUGGCGGUAGGCCUAACACAUGCAAGUCGAACGGCAGCACAGUAAGAGCUUGCUCUUACGGGUGGCGAGUGGCGGACGGGUGAGGAAUACAUCGGAAUCUACUUUUUCGUGGGGGAUAACGUAGGGAAACUUACGCUAAUACCGCAUACGACCUACGGGUGAAAGCAGGGGAUCUUCGGACCUUGCGCGAUUGAAUGAGCCGAUGUCGGAUUGGCUAGUUGGCGGGGGAAAGGCCCACCAAGGCGACGAUCCGUAGCUGGUCUGAGAGGAUGAUCAGCCACAAUGGAACUGAGAAACGGUCCAGACUCCUACGGGAGGCAGCAGUGGGGAAUAUUGGACAAUGGGCGCAAGCCUGAUCCAGCCAUACCGCGUGGGUGAAGAAGGCCUUCGGGUUGUAAAGCCCUUUUGUUGGGAAAGAAAAGCAGCAGGUUAAUACCCCGCUGUUCUGACGGUACCCAAAGAAUAAGCACCGGCUAACUUCGUG
rnacentral:rRNA from 1 species